rnacentral:rRNA from 1 species
AUGGUCGUUGCCAACACACGUACCUCCCUUGACGUGCUAUGGCAGGACGGCACACGACAACAAGGCAUAAGUUCAGCGACUGUCGCCCCCUUUCAAGUAGUGGAUGGAGAGUUAUUCCCGGGACAUCACGUUGUCGGUGUUCUUCAUGUUCAUUCUACCGGUGACCACGAUGACAAGACUACUACUAGUGUAAACAAUGACAUUGUUGCUGAUGGAACUCCAUUAUCAAGGCCCGUGGGCGUCCUCAGGAGCCUGCACUAUGGAGACCGGACGGCUUGCGUGUCAUGGUUGAACGGGGCUGGUGAGGUUGCGUGUGACGAUGCCGUGACUGUAUACCCGCUGAAAAGAGACUCUUCUUACCUAUAUGCUUACUAUGGAGAUAUUGUCAUUCGCCUCCUACCGUCAGGAUCAGCCAACGGUGAAGAAACCAUACCAUUGAUUCAUAGCAAGAAGAAGAAGAAGAGUGCUGCUGCAUCUGACCUUUCGUGGGUGGGGCAUGUUGCUGAACUUCAUAAUGGACACGUCCAAGUCAAAUGGGGUGAUGGUAGCAUGUCAAUGGUAUUGCCCCAAGAGAUUCGUGUCGUCAAGGAGGAGCACUACAUGAAUCUGUUGAAUUUAAUGGAGAACUGGGUAGUGGUCGACGACAUGGGUGAUGCACCUCAAGAACCAACCGCAGCCGCAGUUAACACGGACCAUGGUCUACAGAAUCCGGCUGACAAUAACGGUGUCGAAGGUGACAACCCGGCAAUGACGAGGACAAACCCUUUGGGCUUUGCAAGCUGGUCUUUGUUUCAAAGGACAGGCAGCAUGGUGACUCGGGUUAAGCAAUACCUGACAGGGAACUGGUGGCCGUUGUCGUCAUCACCAAGCUCAGGGUUACUUGUGCCCACAUAUGACGGCGAUGAUACAACAGAGACAUCCGAUGCUACCAUGGCGAGGAACAUUCUGGAUGCGAGCGGGCACUAUUUUCCCAAGGGGACGAAAGCUGAUGACAAGCCCUUCAGAUCACCAUUACCUUGA